CACCAGCUAAAGCUGUGCAGUCCCUGCAGAAGAGCCACAUCAGCUACUUGGAAAAAAAAGAGCUCCUGUCAGCCACAGUUGGACCUGGUUAUUGUUUCUGAUGGGUUGCCCACAUGUUCUCCUUGGUGUGCUCCCGACUGCUGAUGAACUACUUUGUCAAGUUCUGACUGGAUUUAUGAGGAAGGGUCAAAAUCUUGGAACUCACUUCCGAACAGCACUCCAUGUGUCACCAUACCCCAAAGACUGCAGCAGUUUAACAAGGCAGCUUACCAUCUUCUUCUCAAGGAUAUUUGAAGAUGGGCAACAGAUACUGAUCAGACCAGUGAUACCCAAAUCCCUUGAAUAAACAAAAUUUGGGAUCUCUCAGUAUGGCACAAAUGGUUUCAGUUGUUCUGUACAGUUUCGAGACUCUGGGCUUGAUAUACAUUAUUGACUAAAUUAAUCUAUUUAUGUAAAAAAAAAUCUUCCUGUGUUGUU